rnacentral:rRNA from 1 species
GACGAACGCUGGCGGCGUGCUUAACACAUGCAAGUCGAACGGAAAGGCCCUGCUUUUGUGGGGUGCUCGAGUGGCGAACGGGUGCGUAACACGUGAGUAACCUGCCCUUGACUUUGGGAUAACUUCAGGAAACUGGGGCUAAUACCGGAUAGGAGCUCCUGCUGCAUGGUGGGGGUUGGAUAGUUUCGGCGGUUGGGGAUGGACUCGCGGCUUAUCAGCUUGUUGGUGGGGUAGUGGCUUACCAAGGCUUUGACGGGUAGCCGGCCUGAGAGGGUGACCGGCCACAUUGGGACUGAGAGACGGCCCAGACUCCUACGGGAGGCAGCAGUGGGGAAUAUUGCACAAUGGGCGGAAGCCUGAUGCAGCAACGCCGCGUGCGGGAUGACGGCCUUCGGGUUGUAAACCGCUUUCGCCUGUGACGAAGCGUGAGUGACGGUAAUGGGUAAAGAAGCACCGGCUAACUACGUG